GAUGAAGAACGCAGCAAAAUGCGAUAAGUAAUGUGAAUUGCAGAAUUCAGUGAAUCAUCGAAUCUUUGAACGCACAUUGCGCCCCCUGGUAUUCCGGGGGGCAUGCCUGUCCGAGCGUCAUUACAACCCUCAAGCUCAGCUUGGUGUUGGGCCCCGCCGCCCCGGCGGGCCCUAAAGUCAGUGGCGGUGCCGUCCGGCUCCGAGCGUAGUAAUUCUUCUCGCUCUGGAGGUCCGGUCGUGUGCUCGCCAGCAACCCCCAAUUUUUUUCAGGUUGACCUCGGAUCAGGUAGGGAUACCCGCUGAACUUAAGCAUAUCGAUAAGCGGAGGA
rnacentral:misc_RNA from 1 species